rnacentral:rRNA from 1 species
GGUUGAUCCUGCCAGUAGUCAUAUGCUUGUCUCANAGAUUAGCCAUGCAUGUCUAAGUGCAAGCCGCGUAUGCGGCGAGACUGCGGACGGCUCAUUAAAUCGGUUAUGAAUCCACUGGGGCCAGACUCACCCGUGGAUAACGUGCGGUAACUCCGGUGCUAAUACAUGCAACAAGGCCUUGACCCCGUCCUCGGGCGGGGGAAGGGCGCACUUAUUAGGCGAAAACCAACGGCCGGCCUCGGCCGGCCUUGGUGGACGACACCCGAGUAAUUGCCGCCGAUCGCACGGCCUCAGCGCCGGCGACGCCUGCACCGAGUUUCUGAUCUAUCAUGCUGUCGACGGUUGGUGCUAUGCCAACCGUGGCGUUGACGGAUAACAGAGAAUCUGGGUUCGAUUCUGGAGAGGCCGCAUGAGAAACGGCGACCACUUCCAAGGAAGGCAGCAGGCACGCAAAUUACCCACUUCGGACACCGAGAGGUAGUGACGAACAAUACCGAUGCGGCGCACUUACGUGUCGCCGUAAUCGGAAUGAGUACACUUCAAAUCCUUUAACGAGGAUCCACUGGAGGGCAAGCCUGGUGCCAGCAGCCGCGGUAAUUCAAGCUGAAACUUAAAGGAAUUGACGGAAGGGCACCACCAGGAGUGGAGCCUGCGGCUUAAUUUGACUCAACACGGGAAACCUCACCCGGCCCGAACACUGUUAUGACAGACAGGUUGAGAGCUCUUUCUCGAUUCAGUGGUUGGUGGUGCAUGGCCGUUCUUAGUUCGUGGAGUGAUCUGUCUGGUUAAUUCCGCUAACGAACGAGACUCUCGCCUGCUAAAUAGACGGCGCCGAGCUUCGGCUGACGGCGACCGCUCGCUUCUUAGAGGGACAACCGGCUUUUAGCCGGUUGAAGCGGAGAGCAAUAACAGGUCAGUGAUGCCCUCAGAUGUUCGGGGCCGCACGCGCGCUACACUGUUUGCAUCAGCGUGUUUCUCCCGCGCCGAUCGGCGCGGGCAACCCGUUGAACCGCAAACGUGCUAGGGAUCGGAGAUUGCAAUUGUUCUCCCCCCCCCCCCCCCCCCCCCCCGUCAACGAGGAAUUCCUUGUACUGGCGAGUCAUCAGCUCGCGGGGAAUCUGUCCCUGCCCUUUGUACACACCGCCCGUCGCUACUACCGAUUGAGUGGUUUAGUGAGGCUCACGGACUGCGAGCUGUGCCGGCGGCGGCUUCGGCCGUCGUGGCGCAGCGAGCGGAAAGUGAGACGAACCUUGAUCACUUCUAGGAAGUAAAAGUCGUAACAAGGUUUUCGUAGGUGAACCUGGGGAAAAG